UACGUAGGGCGCAAGCGUUGUCCGGAAUUAUUGGGCGUAAAGAGCUCGUAGGCGGCCUGUUGCGUCCGCUGUGAAAUCCCGGGGCUCAACCCCCGGGCCUGCAGUGGAUACGGGCUGGCUAGAGGCAGGCAGGGGAGAACGGAAUUCCUGGUGUAGCGGUGAAAUGCGCAGAUAUCAGGAGGAACACCGGUGGCGAAGGCGGUUCUCUGGGCCU
rnacentral:rRNA from 1 species